rnacentral:lncRNA from 1 species
CUCUUCAGCUUUCCAGCAGGACUGAAGGCUAGCAGCUCUCUGGGAAUCCUCCAGGCCUUCAGUAAGAUUGUGACUGGUCGUACUAAGGCUUGGGUUAAGCAGAAGGAGAAAAAAGGAAAUGGGCAUAAAUUUCAGAGAGCCUCUGAAGCCCAUAUCGAUUCAGAGCCUGGCAUAACUGGCAUUCCACACAGGAAAGGAAGAAUUUGUUCCAGUCACCU